CACUGCUUUAUUGAUUAUUCUACCUGUAGACAAUGAUUUUCUUGACUUGCCUUCUAACUCUGUUCCAUUAUGCAGAAAGCAAAUCUCAAGUUCAGCAACCAGCUGCGCUCACAUUUCUCAAGGGACAUCUUAUAGAAAUCCCCUGUAACCACUCAAUCACAACCUACGAUAAACUGCUCUGGUACAAAGCUCACAGUGAAAGGGGACUUGAAUACAUCAUAUCUGGCUAUGCAUCUGUAGAAGAAGAUGGACCAUUUAGCAUGACUUUCAAUAAAGAAAAGUUCCUCAUAACUCUUAUCAUCAAGGAUGUAAAGAUCUCUCGCAGUGGGACAUAUUACUGUGCUGUCAGUGACACAGUAGCAGAUGGCAGUAAGAUACAUGUCAAAAAGCACCUUCCACCUGACACACUGCUGCGAUUGUUUCUUUUCUUGGCUUAAUAUACAUAAGUCAAAGACAACUGUCAAUAAAGCAUAGCAAACUUUAA